rnacentral:rRNA from 1 species
UACGAAGGGGGCUAGCGUUGUUCGGAAUCACUGGGCGUAAAGCGCACGUAGGCGGAUCUUUUAAGUCAGGGGUGAAAUCCCGAGGCUCAACCUCGGAACUGCCUUUGAUACUGGGGAUCUCGAGUCCGGGAGAGGUGAGUGGAACUGCGAGUGUAGAGGUGAAAUUCGUAGAUAUUGCAAGAACACCAGUGGCGAAGGCGGCUCACUGGCCCGGAACUGACGCUGAGGUGCGAAAGCGUGGGGAGCAAACAGG